CUACGGGCUGCAGCAGUGGGGAAUAUUGGACAAUGGGCGAAAGCCUGAUCCAGCAAUGCCGCGUGAGUGAUGAAGGCCUUAGGGUUGUAAAGCUCUUUUACCAGGGAUGAUAAUGACAGUACCUGGAGAAUAAGCUCCCGCUAACUCCGUGCCAGCAGCCGCGGUAAUACGGAGGGAGCUAGCGUUGUCGGAAUUACUGGGCGUAAAGCGCACGUAGGCGGCUUUUCAAGUCAGGGGUGAAAUCCCGGGGCUCAACCCCGGAACUGCCCUUGAAACUGGAUGGCUAGAAUACUGGAGAGGUGAGUGGAAUUCCGAGUGUAGAGGUGAAAUUCGUAGAUAUUCGGAAGAACACCAGUGGCGAAGGCGACUCACUGGACAGUUAUUGACGCUGAGGUGCGAAAGCGUGGGGAGCAAACAGGAUUAGAUACCCGCGUAGUC
rnacentral:rRNA from 1 species